rnacentral:rRNA from 1 species
CUAAGCACCACUAAGACCACUCCUCCGCCAGAACAUUACGAGCGAAAGCCUAAAACUCAAAAGACUUGACGGUGUCCCAACCUUCCUAGAGGAGCCUGUUCCAUAAUCGACGACCCACGUUUUACCUAACCACUUUUAGAAUCAUCAGCCUAUAUACCGCCGUCACUCAGCCUACCUUUUAAAAGAAUAUAAAUGGGCUAAAUAGUAGUAUACUAACAAGUCAGGUCAAGGUGUAGCUUAUAAAGUGGUGGCAAUGGGCUACAUUGUUUAUACUAAACAACACGAACUUAUACCCCCUGAAAAAGAAAAUGAAGGUGGAUUUAGCAGUAAUUUAAACAAGAAUACUUAAAUUAACACCAGCUCUGGGACAUGU